AACGAACGCUGGCGGCGCGCCUAAUACAUGCAAGUCGAGCGAGAAGACGUAGCAAUACGUUUGUAAAGCGGCGAACGGGUGAGGAAUACAUGGGUAACCUACCCUCGAGUGGGGAAUAACUAGCCGAAAGGUUAGCUAAUACCGCGUACGCUCCUUGGACUUCGGUUCAGGGAGGAAAGCGAUACCGUGGGUAUCGCGCUCUUGGAUGGGCUCAUGUCCUAUCAGCUUGUUGGUGAGGUAACGGCUCACCAAGGCUUCGACGGGUAGCUGGUCUGAGAGGACGAUCAGCCACACUGGCACUGCGACACGGGCCAGACUCCUACGGGAGGCAGCAGUAAGGAAUAUUGCGCAAUGGGCGAAAGCCUGACGCAGCGACGCCGCGUGGGGGAUGAAGGUCCUCGGAUUGUAAACCCCUUUCGGGAGGGAAGAUGGAACGAGCAAUCGUUCGGACGGUACCUCCAGAAGCA
rnacentral:rRNA from 1 species